CCUACGGGGGGCUGCAGUCGAGAAUCAUUCACAAUGGGGGAAACCCUGAUGGUGCGACGCCGCGUGGGGGAAUGAAGGUCUUCGGAUUGUAAACCCCUGUCAUGUGGGAGCAAAUUAAAAAGAUAGUACCACAAGAGGAAGAGACGGCUAAAUCUGUGCCAGCAGCCGCGGUAAUACAGAGGUCUCAAGCGUUGUUCGGAAUCACUGGGCGUAAAGGGUGCGUAGGCUGUUUCGUAAGUCGUGUGUGAAAGGCGCGGGCUCAACCCGCGGACGGCACAUGAUACUGCGAAACUAGAGUAAGGGAGGGGGAAGCGGAAUGCGCGGUGUAGCAGUGAAAUGCGUAGAUAUCGGGAGGAACACUCGUGGCGAAGGCAGGUUACUGGACAUUAACUGACGCUGAGGCACGAAGGCCAGGGGAGCGAAAGGGAUUAGAUACCCUAGUAGUC
rnacentral:rRNA from 1 species